rnacentral:rRNA from 1 species
AAAAUUGGAUACCUUGGCGAAAAGCCAAGCUAAUACAUGAACCAAUCGGAUGUCCUCCGUUCACGUAGUGGGGGUUUCGGCCCUUACUGCAGCGAGGCGUCCAGCGAAUGAAUGCUUUUAAAACCAAUGCCGCGGACGCGGCAGCAACACCCAGAAGUGUUGAAUCAAUUCAUUCCGUGCGAAAGCCGGUUUACCGGCGUCUUUUGACGAACAACUGCUCUAUCAGCCAGUGAUGGCCGUGUAGUGGACUGCCAUGGCGUUGACGGAAGCGGGGGAUUAGGGUUCGAUUCCGGAGAGGGAGCCUGAGAAAUAGCUACCACUUCUACGGAGGGCAGCAGGCGCGCAAAUUGCCCAAUGACAAAAAAAAUGUUGAGGCAGCGAAAAGAAAUAGGCCUCCCAAAUACCUCUACGGUGUUUGGGAGUUUACAAUGGGGGAUAUUUAAAGCCAUCCAAUAUCGAGUAUCAAUUGGAGGACAAGUCUGGUGCCAGCACCCGCGGUAAUUCCAGCUCCAAAAGCGUAUAUUAACGCUGUUGCUGUUAAAGGGUUCGUAGUUGAACUGAGGGCUACCAAGGAGAGGUUCCAGUCCCACCCGCCUUUGGGUCGGUGACCGCCGCUCUUGGAGCUCGUGAACAUUCGAAACAGAGCGCGGGAUCGGUUUCUUCCCAAUUCACGCGUGUCAUGCACGCUGGGGGACGCCCGCGAUUCUUACUGUGACUAAAAAAGUGCGACCAAAGCAGUCGUUCGACAUGAAUUAGAAAGCAUGGGAUAACAAAGGAGCAACCUACGGUACUACCGUUUUGGCUUUUGUUGGUUUUAAA